AAAAUCAAGCUGGAAAAGGAGAGCACGUGCAAAAUGAGCUUGGGAUGUUGCACGUGCCCUGCUUCUCCAGCAAGACCUA
rnacentral:pre_miRNA from 1 species